UAAAAUAUGUAAUAUAACAGUUAUACGCGUAUUGAGAUAUUUUUUAACGUUCAUAAGUAACUGUAAAUUAGAUAGACGUAAAUUAUUUACAACAAAGAAAGGAGGUUAUGAACAGCCGCACAUAUGUUGAAAUAAUUCAUUUCAUUUCUUUCAUUCACAAAAAGUCAAAUCCAAAAAGUUGAAUUGUCAUACAUUUACAAUUAAUAUUAUUUUGGAAAGUAUUAUUUUUUAUUUAUAAAUAGACACUUUACACAAGAUGAGUGACGAAGGUAGAGGCACGUUAAUAGAUAAAUCUGAGAGCAGUUCCUUUGAAGAUUUGGCUUCUGCGGCCGCUCAUGAGAUUGAAGAAGCUAAACUGGCAGAAGCGGCCGCGGCCGCCGCCGAGAAAGAAAAAACGCCAGAAACGAAAACUGAUGAGUGGCAGGACUUGCUUGGCUCCGGCGCUUUACUUAAAAAG